UACGUAGGGGGCAAGCGUUGUCCGGAUUUACUGGGCGUAAAGAGCGUGUAGGCGGCCACGCAGGUCCGUUGUGAAAACUGGAGGCUCAACCUCCAGCUGUCGACGGAAACCGUAUGGCUAGAGUCCGGAAGAGGAGAGUGGAAUUCCUGGUGUAGCGGUGAAAUGCGUAGAUAUCAGGAGGAACACCUGCGGUGUAGACGGCUUACUGGACGGUAACUGACGCUGAGGCACGAAAGCGUGGGUAGCAAACAGG
rnacentral:rRNA from 1 species